rnacentral:lncRNA from 1 species
ACUUUGUGGCUUGACUUUGCAGCCACGUCUUCCAAAGGCCUGUUGUCUUCUCACCCCAGCACCCGCAGGACGUCUGCAGGGAAGCUACGUUGCCUCCCUGAGGGCCUGCAGGCCUGCUGUGAUCCAGCACCGUCAUAGCCAGAUGAGAAGACUAAUGCUCAGUGAGGUGAACUCCUUCAGGGCCACAGGCUGUAAAGAUCUAAACACCAUCUGAUCCAGUUUCAAUAUGACUGCCUGGAUGAAGAAGGAUUUGAGACUAAGUUUAUUCCUCCAAAGCAAACCAACUGAGAAUGCAGUUUCUGAGGACCUUGGCUCAUUUCAAAAUCUGGAAAUAUAUUUGAACACCUCUCCCAGAAGUGGGAGAGGACAUAGCAAGAAGUCUGCAAGCCAGGAAGAGGCCCUCACCAGGAGAUGAAUCUGCCUGCA